rnacentral:tRNA from 1 species
ACGGCAGUAGUUCAAUUGGUAGAGCAUCGGUCUCCAAAACCGAGUGUUGGGGGUUCGAGUCCCUCCUGCCGUGCCC